UGGCUCAUUAUAUAAGUUAUCGUUUAUUUGAUAGUACCUUACUACUUGGAUAACCGUGGUAAUUCUAGAGCUAAUACAUGCUGAAAAUCCCGACUUCGGAAGGGAUGUAUUUAUUAGAUUAAAAACCAAUGCCCUCUGGGCUCCUUGGUGAUUCAUAAUAACUUUUCGAAUCGCACGGCCUUGCGCCGGCGAUGGUUCAUUCAAAUUUCUUCCCUAUCAACUUUCGAUGUUUGGGUAUUGGCCAAACAUGGUCGCAACGGGUAACGGAGGGUUAGGGCUCGACCCCGGAGAAGGAGCCUGAGAAACGGCUACUACAUCCAAGGAAGGCAGCAGGCGCGCAAAUUACCCAAUCCCGAUUCGGGGAGGUAGUGACAAUAAAUACUGAUACAGGGCUCUUUUGGGUCUUGUAAUUGGAAUGAGUACAAUUUAAAUCUCUUAACGAGGAACAAUUGGAGGGCAAGUCUGGUGCCAGCAGCCGCGGUAAUUCCAGCUCCAAUAGCGUAUAUUAAAGUUGUUGUGGUUAAAAAGCUCGUAGUUGAACCUUGGGCCUGGCUGGCCGGUCCGCCUCACCGCGUGUACUGGUCCGGCCGGGCCUUUCCCUCUGUGGAACCUCAUGCCCUUCACUGGGUGUGGCGGGGAAACAGGACUUUUACUUUGAAAAAAUUAGAGUGCUCCAGGCAGGCCUAUGCUCGAAUACAUUAGCAUGGAAUAAUAAAAUAGGACGUGUGGUUCUAUUUUGUUGGUUUCUAGGACCGCCGUAAUGAUUAAUAGGGACAGUCGGGGGCAUCAGUAUUCAAUUGUCAGAGGUGAAAUUCUUAGAUUUAUUGAAGACUAACUACUGCGAAAGCAUUUGCCAAGGAUGUUUUCAUUAAUCAGGAACGAAAGUUAGGGGAUCGAAGACGAUCAGAUACCGUCGUAGUCUUAACCAUAAACUAUGCCGACUAGGGAUCGGACGAUGUUAUUUUUUNGACGCGUUCGGCACCUUACGAGAAAUCAAAGUGCUUGG
rnacentral:rRNA from 2 species